UCCUACGGGGGGCAGCAGUGGGGAAUAUUGCACAAUGGGGGAAACCCUGAUGCAGCGACGCCGCGUGAGAGAUGAAGUAUUUCGGUAUGUAAAGCUAUCUCAGCAGGGAAGAAAAUGACGGUACCUGACUAAGAAGCCCCGGCUAACUACGUGCCAGAAGCCGCGGCAAUACGUAGGGGGCAAGCGUUAUCCGGAUUUACUGGGUGUAAGGGGUGCGUAGACGGGCUAACAAGUUAGUUGUGAAAUCCUUCGG
rnacentral:rRNA from 1 species